AAUAAUUCAUUAUAACUUUUUUUUUUUUCCUAAAAAGACUGAUUUCUUAAAGACUGUGCCAGUUCUUUUGCAUUGCUAUGCUGAGACCCAGAGGUUGUGAGCUUUCCUGCCUGAGGCUGUUUUCUUCAUCAGACGGUUUCUCCCAAUUUGGUGUUAUACACAGAGAAAAUCUUGGUCCUUCACCCCUUGUAUCUACAGACCAUAUUAUUAUAAGAACUUGAAUAGCUAUCACUGAUAGCUAGAAAAAGAAGUACGUUUUUUUGGC
rnacentral:lncRNA from 1 species